CCUACGGGAGGCUGCAGUGGGGGCUAUUGCACAAUGGGGGGAACCCUGAUGCAGCGACGCCGCGUGGGUGAAGAAGCGCCUCGGCGCGUAAAGCCCUGUCAGCAGGGAAGAAAAUGACGGUACCUGAAGCAGAAGCCCCGGCUAACUACGUGCCAGCAGCCGCGGUAAUACGUAGGGGGCAAGCGAUAUCCGGAUUUACUGGGUGUAAAGGGGGCGCAGACGGCGAUGCAAGCCAGGAGUGAAAGCCCGGGGCCCAACCCCGGGACGGCUCUUGGAACUGCGUGGCUGGAGUGCAGGAGGGGCAGGCGGAAUUCCUGGUGUAGCGGUGAAAUGCGUAGAUAGCAGGAGGAACACCGGUGGCGAAGGCGGCCUGCUGGACUGCAACUGACGUUGAGGCCCGAAAGCGUGGGGAGCAAACAGGAUUAGAUACCCCGGUAGUC
rnacentral:rRNA from 1 species